UUUCAUCAGGAUUCAGUACCAUUGCCAGACUUCUUGGGUACAAGACGAAAUUCCAGCAACAGCAGCACCGCCGCCAACAGAGAGAAAACUAGGCAUUUACAAGACUUCAGACUCAGACUUCAGUAUGAAUUUUAAAGUGGUAUUCCUGGUGCUGGUGGUGAUGCUGAGCGCGGUGCUGGGCAUGCCCCAGUACUUCGGAAAACAGAGGAAGUUCCCCGGCCAGCGGCUGAGGGGUAGAACCAACUACGGCACCCACUCCUUUGGCGGGGAGGGCUACAACACAAUGCCCAUUUCCAGAAUUAACAGACAAAAAGGACAGCGACGACGAUUCUCCUAAACCGUGUGGAGACCAGUGCAGCUGUUCCUCGUCUCUCGUCCCUCCCUCCUGUAACUCGUCGGUCACCAAGCACGUAUUCUCGGGCUGGCAUCAUAGAGCUCCUACAACAACUGACUUGUUAAGGAUUUACUCUGUCCUUUUAAUUAAAUCAAUGUAAUCAUGCAGUGCCUUUACCGACGAUGUGUAAAAGCGUCUUUUAAGUUAAAUCAUUUACUUCCGGUAUAUUUUAAGAAAUCAUUACUUCAAACAUGUAUGAUUCAAAUUGAGUUAACUGUUCAGUUCCUCUUGAUGAGCAAAUGAUUGUCCGAAUGUCGUGCAUCUCUGUAAUUUAUUGUGUGGUUCGGGAGUCUAUUGCCUUCAUGGAAACACGACGAUGAGCUCUCUUUUGUCUCGUGAUUUUUUUCUUAUUUAUUGCAUAAGUAAGCUUUGUAUUUUUUUGUUUAAAUAUU